rnacentral:rRNA from 1 species
CCUACGGGAGGCAGCAGUGGGGAAUUUUGGACAAUGGGCGCAAGCCUGAUCCAGCAAUGCCGCGUGCAGGAUGAAGGCCUUCGGGUUGUAAACUGCUUUUGUACGGAACGAAACGGUCUGCCCUAAUACGGUGGGCUAAUGACGGUACCGUAAGAAUAAGCACCGGCUAACUACGUGCCAGCAGCCGCGGUAAUACGUAGGGUGCGAGCGUUAAUCGGAAUUACUGGGCGUAAAGCGUGCGCAGGCGGUUAUAUAAGACAGAUGUGAAAUCCCCGGGCUCAACCUGGGACCUGCAUUUGUGACUGUAUAGCUAGAGUACGGUAGAGGGGGAUGGAAUUCCGCGUGUAGCAGUGAAAUGCGUAGAUAUGCGGAGGAACACCGAUGGCGAAGGCAAUCCCCUGGACCUGUACUGACGCUCAUGCACGAAAGCGUGGGGAGCAAACAGGAUUAGAUACCCUGGUAGUCCACGCCCUAAACGAUGUCAACUGGUUGUUGGGUCUUCACUGACUCAGUAACGAAGCUAACGCGUGAAGUUGACCGCCUGGGGAAGUCGGCCGCAAGGUUGAAACUCAAAGGAUUGACGGCNGAGAGNGCGACGACGACGACGAGGGAGGAGG